GAGAGAAAUGCACUGUAACCAGCAUGUACAACAUUUGCUGCCUUCCUUCCUUAAAUAAGGGCAAUAAUUGCCACCUGUUCUUCAAAUAAUGAAUGACCUCACAAAUUGAACUCCACACUGCUAUUAUUUUGAACAUGCCCCCUUCCAUAAGUGAUUUAAUUACACAGAAUCAGCAGCAUGCAUGUCAUGACUAUUGGGUUUAUAUU